AAGCAUUUGGAAGUGCAAGAUGACCCCAUAGACACUGUGUAUUCGAUAGGGUACCAGUAAUGCUGUUAAGUUGCCCAUCAGUCACAUCUUGCUCUUUGUGACACUGACCAUCAUGGCUGCCAUAGUCACUAUUUACACAAGGAGGAUCCGCCCACCCAAGGCUCUGCCCCCACAAGCAGAAGAAGCCUCUAGUAUUGAGAUUCAUGUCCUGGAGGAAUGACCCCCUGUUCCUCACUCUUCUCCCUGUGCUGGACUAAGACUUUCAAACUGUCUGUGGUUUUAUUGAUUAGAGGGCAUUAUACAUGUUUUUUAAAGCUGAUGUUCAUGUAUGAUAGAGUAAAGUGUGUUGGAAGAUGUAUUUAUAGUUGUAUUUUCAACUUUUAGUAUCUUUAGUAUCAGUAACUGUCAGAGCAGCUCACAGAUUACUGCACCUGUACAUAGCCCACCUAUAAUUUAGCCCAAACAACUACCUCUUUCCCAACUGUAUUUAA